rnacentral:rRNA from 1 species
CACGGACUGCGCGAACGUUAUUCGGAAUCACUGGGCUUAAAGCGUUCGUAGGCGGCCGUGCAGGUGGGGUGUGAAAUCCCUCGGCUUAACCGAGGAAUUGCGCUCCAAACCACAUGGCUUGAGAGAGAUAGAGGUGAGCGGAACUCACGGUGGAGCGGUGAAAUGCGUUGAUAUCGUGAGGAACACCGGUGGCGAAAGCGGCUCACUGGGUCUCUUCUGACGCUGAGGGACGAAAGCUAGGGGAGCGAACGGG